rnacentral:lncRNA from 1 species
GGAGACUUAUUCUAUGUCAUUGAAAAUCCAGUGGACUCAUCGUCUGGGAUUGGAAGUCCAGGUGACUGAUACCGGUGUUGCUGUCUAUUCAGGGCUUCUGGGAAUUGUAAGCAGUCAGGACUCCUCUCCCCCUUCCUCAUUCUACCCCACCCUCUUGUUAAAUUCUCGUUAACGCUUCUGGGCCAGCAAAGCCUUGUCCAUGUGUGGAGAGCAGCAGUCAUUUUGGAGUCUCCUGAAAUGAUGGUGUCCACAGCUGCCCGCUUGGGGUGAGCCUCAAGGACCAAGAGCCAGGGAAUUUUCUGGGUCAAAGUUCCUGUGCCUCUGAAGGCUGACAGGUGAGGACCAAACAGAAUUCAGAGGAAGAAAGCUCUGAGCAGUCUUUUAUGUUCAGUAGAAUGCUUACCACUUGAAUAUUUUCAGGACUGUUUUAAAAUUGGUUUUUCAGGCCAGCAAAAUGCUCUCCAUAUAGAUAAUUGAGGCUACUGCAGGAGACUGCAUACAGUACAUUAGUUUACCAGGUGAAGGGUUUAAUAUGAAAACAAGUAUCCUGACAUUUGCUAUCCUAAUAGUUCUACAUAUGGAGCUCAUGAUGGAAAAUUUAUUUAAUAUUUGGAGAAUCAAACCUCCCCCAGUUCCAACUCUUCACUAUAACACAGAACAUCUGUGAAGUGGAAUAUGUUCUUGACUGUUUUUCAAUUUUUUUUUAGCUUUUAACAGAUUCAAUGUAGUUCAUAGAUACAAUUCUAAGAAUAUAAUUAUAUUCCCUUCUUCCCUCCUUACCCUCCCUUCCCUCUCUCUCUCGCUCUCACUCUCUCUCUCUCGCUCUCCCUCCCUCUCUCACUAUGGUGUGUAAAGCCCUUCUGAAUUGUGCUAUUCAGAAAUCAGGGAAACAUGAAAUCAAAUACAAGGUCUGAUUCUUAUUAGCUGUGUGACCCUGAAGAAGUUAUGUGCCCAUCUUUUUUUUAAGAUUUAUUUUAUUUAUUUGAAGGAUAGAGUAACAGAGAGGUAGAUGCAGAGAUCUUCCAUCCACUGGUUCUUUCCCCAAAUGGCCACAACAGCCAGAGCUGAGCUGAUCUGAAGCCAGGAGCCAG